UACGUAGGUGGCGAGCGUUUGUCCGGAUUUACUGGGCGUAAAGAGCGCGCAGGCGGUCGUACAAGUCGCGUGUGAAAGCCCCCGGCUCAACUGGGGAGGGUCACGCGAUACUGUUCGACUCGAAGGCAGGAGAGGGUAGUGGAAUUCCCGGUGUAGUGGUGAAAUGCGUAGAUAUCGGGAGGAACACCAGUGGCGAAGGCGACUACCUGGCCUGUUCUUGACGCUGAGGCGCGAAAGCUAGGGUAGCAAACGGGG
rnacentral:rRNA from 1 species